AACUAACGCUGGCGGCGUGCCUAACACAUGCAAGUCGUACGAGAAAGCCGGCUUCGGCUGGUGAGUAAAGUGGCGCACGGGUGAGUAACGCGUGGAUAAUCUGCCCUUAAGUGUGGAAUAACGUACCGAAAGGUGCGCUAAUACCGCAUAAUGCCUGGCAACACAAGUUGUCCGGCCAAAGAAGGCCUCUGUUUACAAGCUUUCGCUUCAGGAUGAGUCCGCGUACCAUUAGCUUGUUGGUGGGGUAAUGGCCUACCAAGGCUGCGAUGGUUAGCUGGUCUGAGAGGAUGAUCAGCCACACUGGAACUGAGACACGGUCCAGACUCCUACGGGAGGCAGCAGUGAGGAAUAUUGCGCGAUGGGGCGAACCCUGACGCAGCAACGCCGCGUGAGUGAGGAAGUUUUCGGACUGUAAAGCUCUGUCGAGCGGGAAGAAGUGUACCAUGGCUAAUAUCCAUGAUAUUUGACGGUACCGCUAGAGG
rnacentral:rRNA from 1 species